rnacentral:pre_miRNA from 1 species
UCUUUGGUGAUCUAACUUAUGAUUAACUUUAUAAGUCAUAAAGCUAGAUUCACCAAAGAAA